AGUGUGUUAACAAUGGAGAUUCCUGCAGACAUAUCAAAUCAGAGUCUCCAGCGGAGGGGCCUGGGACGUGGAAUUUCCAACCAGCAGACCAGCUGAUUGCUAUGAUCAGCUUGUCCAGAGGUUUUACUUAGGAGCUGCUGGAGGGAACGACAGCUGCUUGUGGAUCUCAGUGCUCAGCACUGGGCCAACGGCAAAGAGGGCCUAGAGCUCGCCUAGGACUCCUGAGUGAACAUCUUCUACAAUCACUGAAGAAAGCGAUCACAGUAGCCUUCCCAAGCUUUCCGUGUUCCGUGGAAUACACUUUUUAAUCUGUGGUUCCCAUUUAGAGAUGUUGGAACCUGGAGAUGAUGAAGGCUCGCUGAUAAAUAACAAACUCCAAAUUUGUUGUUCUGAGGAUCAUGCUAUUAUGAGGGGUUUAAAAUAUGGAAAAUGGCUUUACAGAAAAUAAAAAUCACAAUCAAAAUGGAUACAGGUUAUGGAAGAUGAUUCUACCAGAAUAUAUUCAAAUCAUUAAACUUGGAGACGGGAACUUGAAAGACAUCCUGCCUUUCCAAUGUUCCGAUGUCCUUCUCUUCCAGCGUGUUCUGAAGCACAGUAAUGAGAAAAACCCCACUGGCUAAGAAAAAUACUGCCUAGCUGUGCCGUAAUUCAAAGCAGACUUCUAAAUCUACCUUCUGAAAAUUUCUUGGGUCUUGGAACUAAAGGCGUAACCACAGGCUGUGCGUGUG
rnacentral:lncRNA from 1 species